rnacentral:rRNA from 1 species
GAUUAUGGCUCAGGAUGAACGCUGGCGGCGUGCCUAACACAUGCAAGUCGAACGGGGUUACUGGCAGCGGAGAUUCGGUCAAAGCAGCCUUAAUCUAGUGGCGACGGGUGAGUAACGCGUGGGGAACCUGCCCUGUACUGGGGGAUAACAGUGAGAAAUCACUGCUAAUACCGCAUAAGCGCACAGCAUCGCAUGAUGCAGUGUGAAAAACUGAGGUGGUACAGGAUGGCUCCGCGUUGGAUUAGCCAGUUGGCGGGGUAACGGCCCACCAAAGCGACGAUCCAUAGCCGGCCUGAGAGGGUGAACGGCCACAUUGGGACUGAGACACGGCCCAGACUCCUACGGGAGGCAGCAGUGGGGAAUAUUGCACAAUGGGGGAAACCCUGAUGCAAGCGACGCCGCGUGAAGGAAGAAGUAUCUCGGUAUGUAAACUUCUAUCAGCAGGGAAGAUGAUGACGGUACCUGACUAAGAAGCCCCGGCUAACUACGUGCCAGCAGCCGC